rnacentral:rRNA from 1 species
CGUCUAUAUACGUAUAGCAUAUCAAUAAGCGGAGGAAAAGAAACUAACUAAGGAUUCCCUCAGUAACGGCGAGUGAAGCGGGAAGAGCUCAAAUUUGAAAUCUUCAAGGUUCUACCUUGACGAAUUGUAGUUUAAAGAAGUGUUUUCUGUUGGAGUUUUCGGUAAAAGUUCUUUGGAAUAGGACAUCAUAGAGGGUGAGAAUCCCGUAUUUGACCGUUACUUUCCAGCUGUGUGAUACACUUUCAAAGAGUCGGAUUGUUUGGGAAUGCAGUCCAAAAUGGGUGGUAAAUUUCAUCUAAAGCUAAAUACUGGCGAGAGACCGAUAGCGAACAAGUACCGUGAGGGAAAGAUGGAAAGAACUUUGAAAAGAGAGUUAAACAGUACGUGAAAUUGUCAAAAGGGAAGCGUUUGACACCAGUGUUGUUUUCUCGAAAAUCAAUUAAAAAUGGUGGGAUUUUGUGUUGUAUUGACUUUAUCAGCUUUCUGCACUUUUUUCCUGUCUUUUUUAAUGCACUUUUCGUUUAACAAGUCAACAUCAAUUUCUUUUGUUGUAAAAGGGUCAUUGGAAGGUGGCUUUCUUUUCGGAGAAAGUGUUUAUAGCCUUUGACUUCUGCAAUCGGAGAGAUUGAGGUCUGCAGCGUAGAUCCUUCGGGGUUAGAUACAUUUGUGCUAAGUUAUAGCCUUUCAUAGACAACUUGUUGACUAUGAUCAGUCAUGUAGCUUACUCGCUUAUGUUAUUUUACCUACGCUUAGGAUGUUGACGAUCAGCUGAGCGCG